GACGAACGCUGGCGGCGUGCCUAAUACAUGCAAGUCGAGCGGACGAAUCGAAAGCUUGCUUUUGAUUCGUUAGCGGCGGACGGGUGAGUAACACGUGGGCAACCUGCCCUGUAGACGGGGAUAACACCGAGAAAUCGGUGCUAAUACCAGAUAACACGAAAUGUCGCAUGACGUUUCGUUGAAAGACGGCGCAAGCUGUCGCUACAGGAUGGGCCCGCGGCGCAUUAGCUAGUUGGUGAGGUAACGGCUCACCAAGGCGACGAUGCGUAGCCGACCUGAGAGGGUGAUCGGCCACACUGGGACUGAGACACGGCCCAGACUCCUACGGGAGGCAGCAGUAGGGAAUCUUCCGCAAUGGACGAAAGUCUGACGGAGCAACGCCGCGUGAGCGAAGAAGGCCUUCGGGUCGUAAAGCUCUGUUGUUAGGGAAGAACAAGUAACGCAGUAACUGGCGUUACCGUGACGGUACCUAACGAGAAAGCCACGGUGAACUACGU
rnacentral:rRNA from 1 species